AUCGAACACAAUAUCCCCCCCCCACUUCCCCGGAAUAUAAAGGCAGUGAAACAGAAGCUGUGCGGGAGAUAAGGCGGCAGCACCCGGCAGCUCAUAUGGAAUUACUGCAGUGACCUUGAGCAAGAGGCUGCCAGGUUUUCCCCGUGAGUAGGGGUACACAUGGAGCCUGGUUUCUACAGGCUGGACCAGAGGCAUGGAUCUUACAAAUAGGCUUUGCCAUCUUUGAAGGUCAAGAGAGACCCUGCACCCAGCUCGCUCUGCCUCGGAAACCUGCUCCGACCCAAGCCCAGCUGCCGAGCGUGCGACACGCACCCCCGGGAUGUCUCCACAAAAAGCUCCAUUCCAGCUGCGAUGCACAAAGAAAACCCAGACAGAAGGCAGCGAUAAGCCCAGACGCACAUGCAGGCUGAUGGAGACAGGAGGGGUGACUCUAACACAAGGCCUUACAGCACGAAUUUCACUCAUUUUAAUUCAAGAGGGAUUCAUCUUGGAAGGAAGCAAGUAAGAGCCGUCUCAGAAUGGGGCUGGGGAACCUUGAGCUGGAUGGAAAGAGAUGGAAGAUCAGCACAAGCAAAUUCAUGGGUGCAAAACCAGGCAGGGUGGCACACCCCUUGGAAUACUGUGUUUUCACUGGGAUCCAGGAUGCCUCGGAGAAGCCUUAUGUCAGCAAGUCCCGAGAGGAGGCUGGACAAGCAGUCAAGAAUAUGAUCAAAAAUGAGAAUUUUUCCAAGUUCCUGUCCUGGGAAGGGACACUCUCUGCUCACUCACCUGCUAGCCAAGCAAGAUCGUGAAACAAAGAAUAAAGACAUAUCUCAUGUUGACUGGCGCUUUUAAAUUCUUCUUCCUUAGCAGAAACGCCAGUGUUUUCUAGUCUUAGCGGUUUCUGAGGCUGUGAUAUUUCUUGCCUUG